AAAUGAGACAAAAUGUAAAAACUACAUUUAGAUCUAUAUAAAAUGUUGUACAUAUGAAUAAAAAGGAGAUAUGGGUAAGUGUCAAUCAGAUAGCAACCCAACAACACAAACGAUCAAAAUACAACUUGUAAUACAAAAGGCUGGAGUAUACGAGUAAUUUUCAGGCCAUUAUAAUGUAGACAUCAUAACUAAACUGAUUUGCUCUUUUUAAAAAAUAUCUCAAAGGAUGAAAGCAGCUUUAUAGUCUAUAAUUUAACAGCAAAAUUUCACAAAGGUGUUAAACUAAAUACUAUUUAACAAU
rnacentral:lncRNA from 1 species